rnacentral:hammerhead_ribozyme from 1 species
AUCCAGCUGACGAGUCCCAGAUAGGAGGAAACGCGCGAAACUGGAU